rnacentral:rRNA from 1 species
UACAGAGGUCUCAAGCGUUGUUCGGAUUCAUUGGGCGUAAAGGGUGUGUAGGUGGCGCCGUAAGUGGGGUGUGAAAUUUCGAGGCUUAACCUCGAAACUGCAUUCCAUACUGCGGUGCUUGAGGACUGGAGAGGAGGGUGGAAUUUACGGUGUAGCGGUGAAAUGCGUAGAUAUCGGAAGGAAGACCAGUGGCGAAGGCGGGUCUCUGGACAAUUCCUGACACUGAGACACGAAGGCGAGGGGAGCAAACGGG